AGUGAACGCUGGCGGUAGGCCUAACACAUGCAAGUCGAACGGCAGCACAGUAAGAGCUUGCUCUUACGGGUGGCGAGUGGCGGACGGGUGAGGAAUACAUCGGAAUCUACUUUUUCGUGGGGGAUAACGUAGGGAAACUUACGCUAAUACCGCAUACGACCUACGGGUGAAAGCAGGGGAUCUUCGGACCUUGCGCGAUUGAAUGAGCCGAUGUCGGAUUAGCUAGUUGGCGGGGUAAAGGCCCACCAAGGCGACGAUCCGUAGCUGGUCUGAGAGGAUGAUCAGCCACACUGGAACUGAGACACGGUCCAGAAUCCUACGGGAGGCAGCAGUGGGGAAUAUUGGACAGUGGGCGCAAGCCUGAUCCAGCCAUACCGCGUGGGUGAAGAAGGCCUUCGGGUUGUAAAGCCCUUUUGUUGGGAAAGAAAAGCAGCAGGUUAAUACCCCGCUGUUCUGACGGUACCCAAAGAAUAAGCACCGGCUAACUUCGU
rnacentral:rRNA from 1 species